CAAUUUCCACCGUUUAAUGAGACCUGUGUUUCCAAUGCAUAUCCGCCAAAUAAAACAAAUGCAGUUCCUUGGUACACUAUUAACCUAGACUUACCACCAAAGCAAAGAUGGACUCAAGUUGGCCAAGAGAAGAAAGCAGGGGUA